rnacentral:rRNA from 1 species
UGUUUCGGCAAGGGGGUCAUCCCGACUUACCAACCCGAUGCAAACUGCGAAUACCGGAGAAUGUUAUCACGGGAGACACACGGCGGGUGCUAACGUCCGUCGUGAAGAGGGAAACAACCCAGACCGCCAGCUAAGGUCCCAAAGUCAUGGUUAAGUGGGAAACGAUGUGGGAAGGCCCAGACAGCCAGGAUGUUGGCUUAGAAGCAGCCAUCAUUUAAAGAAAGCGUAAUAGCUCACUGGUCGAGUCGGCCUGCGCGGAAGAUGUAACGGGGCUAAACCAUGCACCGAAGCUGCGGCAGCAACGCUUAUGUGUUGUUGGGUAGGGGAGCGUUCUGUAAGCCUGUGAAGGUGUACUGUGAGGUAUGCUGGAGGUAUCAGAAGUGCGAAUGCUGACAUAAGUAACGAUAAAGCGGGUGAAAAGCCCGCUCGCCGGAAGACCAAGGGUUCCUGUCCAACGUUAAUCGGGGCAGGGUGAGUCGACCCCUAAGGCGAGGCCGAAAGGCGUAGUCGAUGGGAAACAGGUUAAUAUUCCUGUACUUGGUGUUACUGCGAAGGGGGGACGGAGAAGGCUAUGUUGGCCGGGCGACGGUUGUCCCGGUUUAAGCGUGUAGGCUGGUUUUCCAGGCAAAUCCGGAAAAUCAAGGCUGAGGCGUGAUGACGAGGCACUACGGUGCUGAAGCAACAAAUGCCCUGCUUCCAGGAAAAGCCUCUAAGCAUCAGGUAACAUCAAAUCGUACCCCAAACCGACACAGGUGGUCAGGUAGAGAAUACCAAGGCGCUUGAGAGAACUCGGGUGAAGGAACUAGGCAAAAUGGUGCCGUAACUUCGGGAGAAGG